AGUCAAAAAGAGUUCUUGAGCUGAAAAAGAACAAAAACCUUAAAAUAAUAAUGGAUUCAUUUGGAUGUAUAUAUCAAUAGAUAUAACGGCGCUCCUUUUCAAGACUCCAAAGUCAUCAUGAUUAAAGAAAGCAAGAAUGAAUCAUAAAUGAAUUGGCGGACAAGCUUCGAGACUUAUUUUGGGGACAUAUGGCAACUGAGGAAUCACCAUAUGGUUAAAGGACUACCAAAAACUACAUCUCCCAGCUGCUCCCGUGUUGCAAUGAGGGCUUCCCCAAACCAUAUGUUCAAAGGGGUGUCCAGAGCCCUCCAGGUGGCCCUCUCUUGUCGUAUGUCCCUAUCCCUAUUACCUUAAAAGCAAAGUCCUGGGGUGGGGAAUGCAACGUUUGCAGUGGAACAUGUCACGUACACUACCUCACCCAAGAGGAACAUUUGGAACACUUUACGAAAUAUGAUGGGAAAAUUGCAUUACAGUACCGUUAAAGAAUGCGCUAGAAUCAGCGUUCAAAUCGAAGAGAAACAAAUAUAUAUUGGAAUCGAACAACUAGCUCGGUCAUACCUGUUACCUGAGGAAGAGGUGCAAUGGUAUCUGAAGCACCUCCAAGAUGUGUCAGACCGACGGAAGACAGGAACGGGAUAGAAAGGCCGCUGAGAAACGAGUGCAGCGCCAGAAAGAUACCCAAGGUACAAUAUACUUAAUGUACGUUAAAAAAGUAUUUCACAAGUAGUUUGGUUGGGGAUUACUGCUUAGAAGGUGCGAUAGAUGAACUACUAUUUCUCCUUAUCCCAAUCUAGCCAGUCCAACAGACCACGAUGGUCAGGAUGUGUGGUGUUUUUGCCUGGCCCAGAAGAUGAGUGGGUAUCUGAAGUCUUGUGCUACUUGGUCGACCAAUGAAAAACACAUGUUGCAAAACAAUCCCACUAGUAUGAACCCUUCAUUUCACCAAAAACUCAGGCGAAUCUUGUAUUCAGUUUGAUUAAAGUUUUAUCGUGA